UCAUGGCUGUCUCAGCUCGUGUCGUGAGAUGUUGGGUUAAGUCCCGCAACGAGCGCAACCCUUAUUGUUAGUUGCCAUCAUUCAGUUGGGCACUCUAGCAAGACUGCCGGUGACAAACCGGAGGAAGGUGGGGAUGACGUCAAAUCAUCAUGCCCCUUAUGACCUGGGCUACACACGUGCUACAAUGGGAAGUACAACGAGUUGCGAAGUCGCGAGGCUAAGCUAAUCUCUUAAAGCUUCUCUCAGUUCGGAUUGCAGGCUGCAACUCGCCUGCAUGAAGCCGGAAUCGCUAGUAAUCGCGGAUCAGCA
rnacentral:rRNA from 1 species